AAGAUGACUACUUACUCUCCACUGUAUUCAUUAACAGAAUACUAGGCCUUCUGAAGAAGUAGCUGUAAAACUCAAAGUGACAAGACUUGCAUUCUUCCUCUGGUCACUUGUAGACAGUGACUCUGCAAAGAUCUGGAAUGGAAAGCUGAAUGUUUGAAACCUACAGGCUGGCUGAAGCUGGGGAACCUGAAGAACAUCACUUGGUGUCAGAAGUGUGGAGUAAGAAUGAAUUCAAGAAGACUUCAGAAAAGGUCACAGAAAAUAAAGGAGAACAAAAACGAAAGAAGAACUGAAACAGCUCCAGGCUUCUUAUACAGGAUCAUCAAAUGUGUAGGACAAAUAUGCAGAACUAUUGGAAGCUGAAGAGCUGAAUUUGAGAAGAGAGUAUGACCGUAUCUUCACCGGUAUGU
rnacentral:lncRNA from 1 species